GGAGUUAUGAAACAGAAGGAGGUGUCCUGUUUCUUGUAUGGAAAGCAAGAGGAGGCAGAACGAAACACUCAAAGAUGCUGUUUUGCCUUCAGAGCGUAUCCUCGGGCAGGAGACAACACUGCUACAAACUGGCUCAGGGGUCAAGGGACAGGAGUACAGACACAACAUUUACUUUACAUCAAAAAUACUAAAUCUAUGAAGUGAGUUGCUCAGCAAUGAAAGCAGUGCAAAGACGUUUGCUGUGAUGGUGUUGAAGAUGCAAAAGAAUGCUGUGAGCCAGGGGUUGGAAGAAAGCCAGAGCGAGUGCAUGGACCAACUGUUGUACCUUGGAAGGCCCAAGUGGAUCCAGCUGAUUACCCUCUCCCACCACAGAAAACUUACAGGGGAGCUUCUGUUUUCUCCCAACCUGUAUCCCCCUUUUACAGGCGACAUCAUCAGAAAAUCAGAAACAUAUUUGCGCAUGUUGGCGACAGAAGUGGCACAUCACCCCGGCUGUCAAACCAGGUACCAAGCAUUCAAACAUUCAAUUCAAACCGUUUUUCUACAACAUUUUUCGGGUUGUUUCACUUUCGGUUGUCAGAUUCUAAAUUCCAAAAGAAGCCUACAGAAUCCGGAUGAGGUCUCGACUGCUCCAGGGUAGCAGCAGGUGUUUCAAUUAAUCCGGUGACCCAGUCAAAUGGAGACUCUCCGCCGAUUGCGGCCAUAGUCACUCGUAGUGACUGGUGUAAAUGGUUGGCUGAGAUUACAAACACAGGUGCGGGUGUGAUAAAAAAUUGAGAGCUCUCAGAGCGUGGAAGUACCAAGCAGAAUCCCCGGUGCUGCUACCGGACUGCUGCAGAGAUCCAAGGAGAGGUGUGAGGAGUUCUACAACGCCUGGAUCGGCAACGUAGUUGCUAGACAGUAUUACAGCCUCUGGAUACUUCUUCCACCACUGGUUUUGACAUCUUGUAAGACGGGCGACUCAACCUUUCCAGUUAGCUGAUUGGGGACCAGCUGGCUGUACAGUUCUCAGGAGACAGACGGGGGAUGGGAGUGUGUGGUGUGUACAUGUCUGACUGAACGAGCAAAAAGAAGAGAGGACGGAGAAAAAGUCCAACACAGACAAAGUGGAGAAAAGGAGUGAGAGAGACGGAUCUUCUGCCCAGAAUGAACAUCGGUCGUCAUCCAAAGGCAGCCAAUCUGAGACCUACUCCCCUGCCUCACACACACACACACAGCGGCUCCACAUCAAUGGCUGAGGAACUUUUCUUUUUGGUCAAAGCUCCUCCCACUCUUCCUCCCUCUUUCUGAGGUUGAUACAGUCCAGACCAGCAGAGAACCCACCCAGACACACACCUCCCUUUUGUGAUCGCUAUUUCUCUCUCAUAUUUUAACAUUAACUAUCAUGCUGAGCCCUGUGUAAAAAAUAUGAAAAAUAAACAGUGUCCUGAGGCUACGAGCAGGGGGAGAUUUCCGUUUUUUUCAAUUGCUAAAAAGCAUUGCUGAAACCAUACUUUUAAACCUCUUCACAUAUUCUUCAUUAUCAAUAUUAAUUUGGGCCAAACAGUUAAUGAAACCUCCAAAACAACUAAUUUGUUUUCGUGCACAUCUGAAAGGUUUCAGCCUCUCCCUCCUCUCUGAGCCAAACGUUGGGUCCUAAAACACAACAGUUACUGUAUUGUAACAGGUUUCAACAUUUAGACUAUGUAUUGUACUGUAAUAUGUAUCAUCUCACUUGUUUUGCUGGAAAAUUUGUACUAUUGACGCAACUGUUGAGCAGUGCAGAUUUGGUUGCACCCUUUGACCGGCCUCUCAAAGUGAGACCAGUGAGACCAGUGAGACACAGAAUUGUCUGCUGUGAUCCAUAUUUCUAAACAAAAUCAGUUCCAAGCUAUUGGCUUUUACUGAAACAUGGUGAUGAGAGUAAAGCAGGACACCUGGAUCAGCUUUGAGCUAAAAUUGCAAUUAGCUUGGACUGAUUUUUCUUUCUAUUUUCUAUAUUUCUAAAAUAAUUACUGCAGAAUUUUUUGAAAUUUGUCAUCAUUCUGAUUUGAAUGUGUUUUUAUCAGUUGAUUUUGAAAACUGUGGUAAUUGAAUGCAUUUUGUCUGAAAGCAAUGAAAAAGGAUUUUUGACCAGCAAUUGUUGAUAAAAAUGUUUGUUUGUUUUUUGGUAAGGUUCAGGAAACAGGUGGCAUUAAACUAGCAGAGGUAAAAAAGGACCAAUAGCACUGAUUUAUGAGGAAGAACAAAAUUAUGAAUAAAUUAUACUGUAUUAUAACUAAUUCUAUCAAAUUGGUCAAGUCCAAGUGUUAGAAAAUCAAGUUAGAGAAUCAGAGUAGUAAAACAGAUAGACCAAGGAGACAAAGGAGGUAGAAGGAAAGGUCUUUUCCUCGGCACCAAGGCGCCACAGCAAAUUCAUCCGACAGGGAGCAGGACAGGGAUCCAACGUCAACUCAAACUGAAAGUCACGAGCCAUUAAAACUAACAAUGCAGGGCAGCGAUGAACACACAAGGUUGGACAAAGACAACGUGGCCCCAGAACAGAGAAAGCAGGGCCGUACAGAUAUUCUUAAUGAUGAUAAGCACCACGGCGCUCUAUUCACCUCUCUCCCCCUCUCUCUCGCUCCCUCGCUCCCUCUCUCUCUGCCUGCCUGUGCCUGCAUCCAGCAUACCUGAAGUUCCAGUCCAUUUCUUCGAAGAGUCUCC
ensembl:lncRNA